rnacentral:misc_RNA from 1 species
CACUAACAAUAUUAAUAAAUUCUUUUUGAUAUAGAGAAAACUUCGAAUAAAACAAUUGCCAAGUUUUAAAGAUUAAAAUUAUCGAAAAUAUAUGUACUUGUGGUUGAUCCUGAUUUCUAUACCAUGGCAUGAUAACUGCAUCAUGAUAUUUAGAUGCAUCAAAUUGGAAUUGUUUACGCACUUCUUCCGGCACCUCAUUUGUUUUUACAGGAACAAUAAAGUAGGAGUGUUCAGAGGCAUUUGGAUCAAAAAGCAUUAGAUAUUUUUGAAGCCUGAGUACAUUUGUAAACGUAUAAUUCAAAAACGCUGCUACGCGCUCAAUUUGAGCAGGGUCUAGUAUAACCAUCUGUUUACUUAAUUUGAGUUUCACAUGGACCUCUCCCGAUCUUGUAUAUAUUGGAA